rnacentral:lncRNA from 1 species
UGUUUCCGCGAGCCCAGGCAAAGAAAAGAGAGGCCUUUUUGCUAUAAUAAAUUUUAAAUUAAAUGUUUUGGGAUAAAAUUGUUAUACUUAUUUUGCAAAAAUAAACAGUUUUAAAUCAUUUCGGACUUUUUGACCGGGCUUAGGCAGGAAGCUGAGGCUUGAGGCUAGCCCGGCCUGGCCUAGUCUUAGUCAAAGGGUUAUGUGGACUUUUUUUUUCUCUUUUUUCCUUAUACGCAUGCGUGGUUCCAAUUAAUUAAGAAUCUUAUGAUAAACAGAUAAGAGUAGUGUUGUCUAAAAGCAUCUCAAAACGGUUCUUCGCUACAAUUAGUUCCUAAAACUAUACCGAGCGAAACUGAAACCAUCUUUCUUAAAAAAAAACUGAAAACAUAAAGCAGGCUAGACCGAGCAAAACAAAAGUUGAAGGACUUAUGACUUAUCUCUACCCAAAAUACCCCCAUAAACUCGUCCUACUGGCAA